rnacentral:tRNA from 1 species
AGUUAAAAAGCUUAAAGAGCAUUAUGUCUUGAAAAUAUAAAAUAGAAAAUCAAAUCUUUUAACUU